UACGGAGGGGGCUAGCGUUGUUCGGAAUUACUGGGCGUAAAGCGCGCGUAGGCGGCUUUGUAAGUUAGAGGUGAAAGCCCGGGGCUCAACUCCGGAACUGCCUUUAAGACUGCAUCGCUAGAAUUGUGGAGAGGUGAGUGGAAUUCCGAGUGUAGAGGUGAAAUUCGUAGAUAUUCGGAAGAACACCAGUGGCGAAGGCGACUCACUGGACAGAUAUUGACGCUGAGGUGCGAAAGCGUGGGGAGCAAACAGG
rnacentral:rRNA from 1 species